GUCUGGUCAACAUAGACAAGGUAUGUUACCUGGAGUCGGCGAUAAGGAAGGCUGGAACACACACGCACCCAACCACUGCUCCUCAGGGAAGCUGCGACACUACUGAUGGGUAUCAGCGGGCCGGCAGGAUAUCAAGCUCCUCUGGAUGGAGAAGGAGAAGAUAUAUGGAUCUUCCUCUUCCAGCUCCUCUGGACGGAGAAGGACGAGACAGAUGGAUCUUCCUCUUCCAGCUCCUCUGGACGGAGAAGGACGAGACAGAUGGAUCUUCCUCUUCCAGCUCCUCUGGACGGAGAAGGACGAGACAGAUAGAUCUUCCUCUUCCAGCUCCUCUGGACAGGGAAGGAGGAGGAAGAGGCAACGGGUUUUGGGUGAGAGAGAAAAAAAACCCGUCACUAUAACUUCGCACUCAACAAUUCCAAACUUUUCUCAGCUAACUGACUGCUUGAGCGACAGGUGCAACUAAUUUGGAAUUCGUGUGACGGCGGUGGUGGAGGUGUUGUUGAGGCUGUGAGCGCGGGAAAGACCUGAGAUGGGAGCCACAACAAUGACUGGAGACGGCGGCCUUGCAAGCAUCUCCACCGUACGGGAAAAUGUUGCAUGGUUCGGGACUGGCCCAAGUGUAUCAUGUGCAAUAGCAGGAUGGCAGCCUCUCAAACCGAUCUGGAAUAGAAGUGAUGACAGGCUGUCGAAUCCACGUGGAAUUGAAGUGAUGGCAGGCUGUCGAACCCACGUGGAAUAGAAGUAAUGGCAGGCUGUCGAAUCCACGUGGAAUAGAAGUGAUGGCAGGCUGUCGAAUCCACGUGGAAUAGAAGUGAUGGCAGGCUGUCGAAUCCACGUGGAAUUGAAGUGAUGGCAGGCUGUCGAAUCCACGUGGAAUAGAAGUAAUGGCAGGCUGUCGAAUCCACGUGGAAUAGAAGUGAUGAUAGGCUGUCGAAUCCACGUGGAAUUGAAGUGAUGAUAGGCUGUCAAACCCACUCGAAAUAGAAGUGAUGGCAGCAUCUCAAGAUAGCCUAUCAGUGUAAUAGAUUUUUCCUUUUUUUUAGGGAUUUUUCCUGUGGGGGCCCUAAGCCUCUGUUGGCCCACUAAGUGUUAUUCAUUUCUGUCUUGGGCGGUGAAUGAGUAUUUGUGCCUCGUAUGUUGGCUUGAGUAAGGUUAUGUCCAAUAUGUUUAGCAACUUCUGCACUCGGUAUAAAUCUUAUUUGGUUUGUAACUCUGCACUGUGUUAGGUAACGUUCGGGUGGUCUGUGGGGUAUUUCUCCAGAAUGCUGACAUUUCCUCUCAUCUUCUGGAAUCUGUAAGUUAUUUCCCAUGCACAUGGGUGUCUAAGCCUGAUGCGGUGUAAGUACACUUCUAUUUUUCGAUUAUUUCCUUUUAUAAAAAUAAGUGAUUCAUUGUUGAAUUCUUGUAACAACCCCCAGAUUCUGAUGUUCCACCUGCAUUAUGGUCACUGUACACCUUCUAAAUUGCUAUAUCUCUAAUUAUCGUCUCAAUCUGUGCUAGACUUGGGGUGUGUGUAACUGUCUAUAUUCCUCCUCUUAGUUGAAACUUUUGAAGCUUCAUCUCCAAUGUCAUUCCCUGGUAUUCCUACAUGACCCAACGCCCCGGCCAAAUCCUCCUUCAUCAGGGUAGAAAUAUCGAAAAGUCAAAUGUAAAUAAAAAAGGGAGAAAAAGAAAACCGUAUCACUUGCUCGGAGACAAAGCGACCUGUGAGAUCGAGGUCACGUUCUGGUGAAUCAUGGAAAAUCAGAGAUCUGGAAUGUAAAAUCUGGAAAAUCAGAGAGUGAAUGUUUUCGUGAUCCAUUAUGUCAUGUUACUCUAAUGGUGUCUAUUAUUUUGUUUAUGAGGGAGACCUAAACACCUCCACCACUCAGUGGCUCCUCAGGGAAGGCUUAAAGUUUCAGUUGGAUACUAGUUAGGCAUUUCUUGAGAUUCUUUUUUUUUGUUGUUGUUGUUGUGUAUUCAUAGUGUAGUUGGUGGAGCUGCCGGCUCCCGCUUUUGUGGUCCCUGUUUCAAAGAGGCGAUGGCCUUAAUAAAUUAAAUAUAUAUGAAUUAAAUGAAUGAAAUAAAAUGAAUUAAUAAUGAAUGAUAAUUAAUCAAUUAAAUAUAUAUGUACAUUUCAUUCACCUGGGCACUAGGAGCCUUGAAAUAAGAUAACAAAUAAAUAAAGUUAAACAAAAGGAGUAAGAUUACAAAAGUUUUUCCAUCACGACUUUUGUGAAACAAAGUUUUGAACCAUGAAGCAAGUUAUUUUUUUUUCUUUUCUUCCCUGUUUGCAUGAAAGACUAUGUCUGUUCAUUCAGCAGCCAAGAGGAAGUCCCGGCGGGCUAUGAGCUACGGCUGCUCCAGCUGUGAAACACAGUUCACUACGGGCUCACCAUAGCCCGUGCUACUUGGAACUUUUUGUUCCAGGUAGCGAAUCUACAACAACAAUGUGAAACACAAUAAGCACCAAUACCAAAGGGAUUCAGAGUAUCAAGAAAAGGUAGACAUAACCUAUUUGGAAGACAGUGAUGUCUUUUUCUAUGAACGAGUUCAACCAAGGCUUCAAUAAAUUGGGUCCUGUUGACCACUUCAAACGAACGGUGCAGUGAUUAUAGCUGAGUCUCAAUAUGUUUCCAGUUGGAAAUGCAUAGGGUGAACAAACCUGGGAUGCUCUCGGACGUAGGUUCGAAUCCUCGUCACGGCCCUUGUGGAUUUGUUCAUUUGAUACAUCACGCUAUUGUGAUUUCUGUGUGAAAUGCAUAGGGUGUUUACAUUGCCAGUCACUGUAGUAGUAGGAGAUGCUCCCAGCUGGCUAGGGUGUGUUGGUGUACGGCUGGUGCUUCUCCAGCUGGCUAGGGAGUGGGUGGGUGUGUAUGGGUGGUGCUUCUCCCAGCUG
rnacentral:lncRNA from 1 species